UACGGAGGGUGCAAGCGUUAUCCGGAUUUACUGGGUUUAAAGGGUGCGUAGGUGGGUCUGUAAGUCAGUGGUGAAAUCUUCGAGCUUAACUCGGAAACUGCCAUUGAUACUAUAGGUCUUGAAUUAUCUGGAGGUAAGCGGAAUAUGUCAUGUAGCGGUGAAAUGCUUAGAUAUGACAGAGAACACCAAUUGCGAAGGCAGCUUACUACGGAUCGAUUGACACUGAGGCACGAAAGCGUGGGGAUCAAACAGG
rnacentral:rRNA from 1 species